CCUUUCGCCCCUAUGCCCAACUCUGACAAUCGAUUUGCACGUCAGAAUUGCUUCGGUCCUCCAUCAGGGUUUCCCCUGACUUCAACCUGAUCAGGCAUAGUUCACCAUCUUUCGGGGAAUUCCGUUAAGAUAGCGACUAUAAGCACACACCAGUAGGGUAAAACUAACCUGUCUCACGACGGUCUAAACCCAGCUCACGUUCCC